CAGCAGUCGCCGCGGGAAUACGAAGGGUGCAAGCGUUAACCGGAAUUACUGGGCGUAAAGCGUGCGUAGGCGGUGAGUUAAGUCUGCUGUGAAAUCCCCGGGCUCAACCUGGGAAUGGCAGUAGAUACUGGCUCGCUAGAGUGUGUCAGAGGAUGGUGGAAUUCCCGGUGUAGCGGUGAAAUGCGUAGAGAUCGGGAGGAACAUCAGUGGCGAAGGCGGCCAUCUGGGACAACACUGACGCUGAGGCACGAAAGCGUGGGGAGCAAACAGGAUUAGAUACCCCCGAGUCCCUGUCUCUUAUACC
rnacentral:rRNA from 1 species